rnacentral:snRNA from 1 species
AUACUUACCUGGCAGAGGAAAAACCAUCAUCAGGCAGGUGGUUUUCCCAGGGUGAGACUUGUCAUGUCUCUGUGCGCCUGACCCUGCAAUUUCC